rnacentral:rRNA from 1 species
UGGGGAAUAUUGCACAAUGGAGGGAACUCUGAUGCAGCAACGCCGCGUGCGGGAUGACGGCCUUCGGGUUGUAAACCGCUUUCAGCCAUGACGAAGCUUUUGUGACGGUAGUGGUAGAAGAAGCACCGGCUAACUACGUGCCAGCAGCCGCGGUGAUGCGUAGGGUGCGAGCGUUGUCCGGAAUUAUUGGGCGUAAAGAGCUUGUAGGCGGUUUGUCGCGUCGAUAGUGUAAACACGCAGCUUAACUGUGUGCCUGCUGUCGAUACGGGCUGACUAGAGGAGGGUAGGGGAGAAUGGAAUUCCCGGUGGAGCGGUGGAAUGCGCAGAUAUCGGGAGGAACACCAGUGGCGAAGGCGGUUCUCUGGACCUUUCCUGACGCUGAGAAGCGAAAGCGUGGGUAGCAAACAGG